GAUGAACGCUGGCGGCGUGCCUAAUACAUGCAAGUCGAGCGAACGGACGAGAAGCUUGCUUCUCUGAUGUUAGCGGCGGACGGGUGAGUAACACGUGGAUAACCUACCUAUAAGACUGGGAUAACUUCGGGAAACCGGAGCUAAUACCGGAUAAUAUUUUGAACCGCAUGGUUCAAAAGUGAAAGACGGUCUUGCUGUCACUUAUAGAUGGAUCCGCGCUGCAUUAGCUAGUUGGUAAGGUAACGGCUUACCAAGGCAACGAUGCAUAGCCGACCUGAGAGGGUGAUCGGCCACACUGGAACUGAGACACGGUCCAGACUCCUACGGGAGGCAGCAGUAGGGAAUCUUCCGCAAUGGGCGAAAGCCUGACGGAGCAACGCCGCGUGAGUGAUGAAGGUCUUCGGAUCGUAAAACUCUGUUAUUAGGGAAGAACAUAUGUGUAAGUAACUGUGCACAUCUUGACGGUACCUAAUCAGAAAGCCACGGCUAACUACGUGCCAGCAGCCGCGGGUAUACGUAGGUGGCAAGCGUUAUCCCGGAUUAUUGGGCGUAAAGCGCGCGUAGGCGGUUUUUUAAGUCUGAUGUGAAAGCCCACGGCUCAACCGUGGAGGGUCAUUGGAAACUGGAAAACUUGAGUGCAGAAGAGGAAAGUGGAAUUCCAUGUGUAGCGGUGAAAUGCGCAGAGAUAUGGAGGAACACCAGUGGCGAAGGCGACUUUCUGGUCUGUAACUGACGCUGAUGUGCGAAAGCGUGGGGAUCAAACAGGAUUAGAUACCCUGGUAGUCCACGCCGUAAACGAUGAGUGCUAAGUGUUAGGGGGUUUCCGCCCCUUAGUGCUGCAGCUAACGCAUUAAGCACUCCGCCUGGGGAGUACGACCGCAAGGUUGAAACUCAAAGGAAUUGACGGGGACCCGCACAAGCGGUGGAGCAUGUGGUUUAAUUCGAAGCAACGCGAAGAACCUUACCAAAUCUUGACAUCCUUUGACAACUCUAGAGAUAGAGCCUUCCCCUUCGGGGGACAAAGUGACAGGUGGUGCAUGGUUGUCGUCAGCUCGUGUCGUGAGAUGUUGGGUUAAGUCCCGCAACGAGCGCAACCCUUAAGCUUAGUUGCCAUCAUUAAGUUGGGCACUCUAAGUUGACCGCCGGUGACAAACCGGAGGAAGGUGGGGAUGACGUCAAAUCAUCAUGCCCCUUAUGAUUUGGGCUACACACGUGCUACAAUGGACAAUACAAAGGGCAGCGAAACCGCGAGGUCAAGCAAAUCCCAUAAAGUUGUUCUCAGUUCGGAUUGUAGUCUGCAACUCGACUACAUGAAGCUGGAAUCGCUAGUAAUCGUAGAUCAGCAUGCUACGGUGAAUACGUUCCCGGGUCU
rnacentral:rRNA from 1 species